UACAGAGGGUGCGAGCGUUUAAUCGGAAUUACUGGGCGUAAAGCGUGCGUAGGCGGUUCGUUAAGUCUGCUGUGAAAGCCCUGGGCUCAACCUGGGAACUGCAGUGGAUACUGGCGGACUAGAGUGUGAUAGAGGAUGGUGGAAUUCCCGGUGUAGCGGUGAAAUGCGUAGAGAUCGGGAGGAACACCAGUGGCGAAGGCGGCCAUCUGGAUCAACACUGACGCUGAGGCACGAAAGCGUGGGGAGCAAACAGG
rnacentral:rRNA from 1 species